rnacentral:lncRNA from 1 species
GACCUAUGGAUAGAAAGAAAGAUGCAGGAAAGGCAAAUGAAAGAAGAAAGCAAAAUUCGCUUUGGGAGUGUGAGAUAGGCAGACGGGGAGUACGCAGCCGAACAACCGCUGGGGUUUCCAGCAGUGAUAGCUGAACUAAUCAGAUGGGCCGCCCCAAACCUUACGCUGACAUUUUAAUCGGAAAUCAACAUCGGGUCCCGGCUAUCCGAAAAACGCAGACUGAAGCGGAAGAUCACAAAAUGCAACACAACAAGGGGGUCGUUAGACCGUAGCUUGCGCGAAGGAAGAAGCUAAUCAAUCAGAAUUGAGACAGGGAGGAGAGGCGAAAGAGAGAUUUUCGAGCCUGCAAGCAGCAAGCAACAACGGCUUUUCAGCCGUUGCGCGCUAGCUU